rnacentral:rRNA from 1 species
CGCGGCCUAUCAGCUAGUUGGUGAGGUAACGGCUCACCAAGGCGACGACGGGUAGCCGGCCUGAGAGGGCGACCGGCCACACUGGGACUGAGACACGGCCCAGACUCCUACGGGAGGCAGCAGUGGGGAAUAUUGCACAAUGGGCGAAAGCCUGAUGCAGCGACGCCGCGUGAGGGAUGACGGCCUUCGGGUUGUAAACCUCUUUCAGCAGGGAAGAAGCGAAAGUGACGGUACCUGCAGAAGAAGCGCCGGCUAACUACGUGCCAGCAGCCGCGGUAAUACGUAGGGCGCAAGCGUUGUCCGGAAUUAUUGGGCGUAAAGAGCUCGUAGGCGGCUUGUCACGUCGGUUGUGAAAGCCCGGGGCUUAACCCCGGGUCUGCAGUCGAUACGGGCAGGCUAGAGUUCGGUAGGGGAGAUCGGAAUUCCUGGUGUAGCGGUGAAAUGCGCAGAUAUCAGGAGGAACACCGGUGGCGAAGGCGGAUCUCUGGGCCGAUACUGACGCUGAGGAGCGAAAGCGUGGGGAGCGAACAGGAUUAGAUACCCUGGUAGUCCACGCCGUAAACGGUG